ACACAUGCAAGUCGAGCGGUAGAGAGAAGCUUGCUUCUCUUGAGAGCGGCGGACGGGUGAGUAAUGCCUAGGAAUCUGCCUGGUAGUGGGGGAUAACGUUCGGAAACGGACGCUAAUACCGCAUACGUCCUACGGGAGAAAGCAGGGGACCUUUCGGGCCUUGCGCUAUCAGAUGAGCCUAGGUCGGAUUAGCUAGUUGGUGAGGUAAUGGCUCACCAAGGCGACGAUCCGUAACUGGUCUGAGAGGAUGAUCAGUCACACUGGAACUGAGACACGGUCCAGACUCCUACGGGAGGCAGCAGUGGGGAAUAUUGGACAAUGGGCGAAAGCCUGAUCCAGCCAUGCCGCGUGUGUGAAGAAGGUCUUCGGAUUGUAAAGCACUUUAAGUUGGGAGGAAGGGUUGUAGAUUAAUACUCUGCAAUUUUGACGUUACCGACAGAAUAAGCACCGGCUAACUCUGUGCCAGCAGCCGCGGUAAUACAGAGGGUGCAAGCGUUAAUCGGAAUUACUGGGCGUAAAGCGCGCGUAGGUGGUUUGUUAAGUUGGAUGUGAAAUCCCCGGGCUCAACCUGGGAACUGCAUUCAAAACUGACUGACUAGAGUAUGGUAGAGGGUGGUGGAAUUUCCUGUGUAGCGGUGAAAUGCGUAGAUAUAGGAAGGAACACCAGUGGCGAAGGCGACCACCUGGACUAAUACUGACACUGAGGUGCGAAAGCGUGGGGAGCAAACAGGAUUAGAUACCCUGGUAGUCCACGCCGUAAACGUAUGUCUUCUAGCCGUUGGAAGCCUUGAGCUUUUAGUGGCGCAGCUAACGCAUU
rnacentral:rRNA from 1 species